rnacentral:sRNA from 1 species
CUCAUCAAACAGAGCCAGGCAGAGGGCGCUCGCAUGUUUCUCGACCACGCGGUAAUAGCCGGCGUCAUGACGGUGGGGUUGCUGAUGGUGAUUUACUCAGGCAUCGCACUGUUCGCCCGGAAAGACUCAACCCGGCGCGCGAGACGCUGAGGCUUUUAUAAAAAGAGCACGCAACGCGGGACCGGGGCAUGACGGGCAACUUCGGUUGCCCGUUUUUUUU